rnacentral:rRNA from 1 species
AGUGAACGCUGGCGGUAGGCCUAACACAUGCAAGUCGAACGGCAGCACAGUAAGAGCUUGCUCUUACGGGUGGCGAGUGGCGGACGGGUGAGGAAUACAUCGGAAUCUACUUUUUCGUGGGGGAUAACGUAGGGAAACUUACGCUAAUACCGCAUACGACCUACGGGUGAAAGCAGGGGAUCUUCGGACCUUGCGCGAUUGAAUGAGCCGAUGUCGGAUUAGCUAGUUGGCGGGGUAAAGGCCCACCAAGGCGACGAUCCGUAGCUGGUCUGAGAGGAUGAUCAGCCACACUGAAACUGAGACACGGUCCAGACUCCUACGGGAGGCAGCAGUGGGGAAUAUUGGACAAUGGGCGCAAGCCUGAUCCAGCCAUACCGCGUGGGUGAAGAAGGCCUUCGGGUUGUAAAGCCCUUUUGUUGGGAAAGAAAAGCAGCAGGUUAAUACCCCGCUGUUCUGACGGAACCCAAAGAAUAAGCACCGGCUAACUUCGU